rnacentral:lncRNA from 1 species
AGGUUCCAUAGAUCCUGAGGAUCUGGAUGCAUCAACAACUCUAAAAAGAUAAAAAAGCAAGAUUUAAAAUACUUGAAAAUAGACUGGUAAUUCAAUUGAUUUAAUAAAAACUAUGCAGUCUUUACAUAAUUAUCUUAAAAAAGGACAAAGUUUCUGUUCUUAUCAGUCUUUAUGUGUGUUCCAGCACCUUCUGUAAUCACUGGAACAGCAGGAGAAUGAUUUCCCUCAACCUCAGAACAGCUUUCAAUAAAGUCUUCAACAAGGAAGAUGAGGAGGCCGGAGCACAGCCAGGGAAGCUGCAGAACAUGAGGAAAUACAGGGCACUUAGGACAUUUUUUUAUGAAGACAUCCUUUGGAAAUAAAGAAAGGAUCCAAAAGGAAGAUGAAUCUGAAAAACUGAGUUGUUGAAGUGCUAGUAAAUGAAUGUUCAUGGUUGUUGCCGGUGAACAUUUCUACCUGCUCUGAACACUACAGUAUUCAGCUUUCAAUCAGCUAAACCUCCUUCUGCUAUGCCCUCUGGAAUUUUCCAUAAACUUAACAGAAGAAAGGACUAGAUUAUCUUGCAACUUUUAUGAGAUGCAUAUGAAAUGGAGAACAAGGAAGAAGAAAUCUCCCCCAUGGACUUAAGUAUGUUUGUAGUCCUUCCUUGUAACUAG